UACGGAGGGUGCAAGCGUUAUCCGGAUUUAUUGGGUUUAAAGGGUCCGUAGGCGGAUCGUUAAGUCAGCGGUGAAAGCCCACAGCUCAACUGUGGAACUGCCGUUGAUACUGGCGAUCUUGAAUAUGUAUGAAGUUGGCGGAAUGUGUGGUGUAGCGGUGAAAUGCUUAGAUAUCACACAGAACACCGAUUGCGAAGGCAGCUGGCUAAUACAUGAUUGACGCUGAGGGACGAAAGUGUGGGGAUCAAACAGG
rnacentral:rRNA from 1 species